rnacentral:rRNA from 1 species
GAUGAACGCUGGCGGCGUGCCUAAUACAUGCAAGUAGAACGCUGAAGCUUGGUGCUUGCACCGAGCGGAUGAGUUGCGAACGGGUGAGUAACGCGUAGGUAACCUGCCUCUUAGCGGGGGAUAACUAUUGGAAACGAUAGCUAAUACCGCAUAAAAGUCGAUAUCGCAUGAUAUUGAUUUGAAAGGUGCAAUUGCAUCACUAAGAGAUGGACCUGCGUUGUAUUAGCUAGUUGGUGAGGUAACGGCUCACCAAGGCGACGAUACAUAGCCGACCUGAGAGGGUGAUCGGCCACACUGGGACUGAGACACGGCCCAGACUCCUACGGGAGGCAGCAGUAGGGAAUCUUCGGCAAUGGGGGCAACCCUGACCGAGCAACGCCGCGUGAGUGAAGAAGGUUUUCGGAUCGUAAAGCCCUGUUGUAAGAGAAGAACGAGUGGAGAGGGAAAGUUCA